rnacentral:rRNA from 1 species
AUUGAACGCUGGCGGCAUGCCUUACACAUGCAAGUCGAACGGCAGCACGGGUGCUUGCACCUGGUGGCGAGUGGCGAACGGGUGAGUAAUACAUCGGAACAUGUCCUGUAGUGGGGGAUAGCCCGGCGAAAGCCGGAUUAAUACCGCAUACGAUCCACGGAUGAAAGCGGGGGACCUUCGGGCCUCGCGCUAUAGGGUUGGCCGAUGGCUGAUUAGCUAGUUGGUGGGGUAAAGGCCUACCAAGGCGACGAUCAGUAGCUGGUCUGAGAGGACGACCAGCCACACUGGGACUGAGACACGGCCCAGACUCCUACGGGGGGCAGCAGUGGGGAAGUUUGGACAAUGGGCGAAAGCCUGAUCCAGCAAUGACGCGUGGGUGAAGAAGGCCUUCGGGUUGUAAAGCACUUUUGUCCGGAAAGAAAUCCUUGACUCUAAUACAGUCGGGGGAUGAGGUACCGGAAGAAUAAGCACCGGCUAACUACGUG